GACGGAGGGUGCGAGCGUUGUUCGGAUUGACUGGGCGUAAAGCGCGUGUAGGCGGCCCGGUAAGUCCGCUGUGAAAGUCCAGGGCUCAACCCUGGGAUGCCGGUGGAUACUGUCGGGCUCGAGUCCGGAAGAGGCGAGUGGAAUUCCUGGUGUAGCAGUGAAAUGCGUAGAUAUCUGGAGGAACACCGGUGGCGAAGGCGGCAUCCUGGACCAAUACUGACACUGAGGAGCGAAAGCCAGGGGAGCAAACGGG
rnacentral:rRNA from 1 species